CUCUCACAAUGACCGCGUUACAACUGUCGCUCAAUAAUUAUACUAUGGUACAAAAGUCUCUAACACAACAGUAAUUAUAUCCAUGAUACUUAUGAUUAUUAUUGAAACAAAAAAUAUGUUAAAUAAAUGACUACGCUAAAAUAGCAUGAAUCACGAAAGAAUUGUUUUUUUUUUUUUAAUGGCAUCGCGCUCCUGGCGCAUUCAGCCACACGAGUAAAACGGGGAAACGGAAUUAAAGGAUUACAUUUUAACGGAUAAGUCGGAAUUUGGACAAGGAUCAGGGAAAGGUAAUAUAUUAUAAUAAACUAUAGUUUUAUAUUAUGACGUGAAAGGAAUGAAUACAAUGAUUUAAAUAUAUAUGAUGAAGAAUCAUUAAUAUACAGGAGUGUUAUAAUAGAUGUGGGAAACGGAACUUUUAAAUUUGACAGCUGUCUUAAUAAUAUAGAACGGUCAUACAGGUUACAAUUACCUGAAUUACCUGAAAAGAAUAUAUGAUUAAGAUCAGCGGGAUCAGCUCCAAAAAUACAUGCGGAACUGGCCACGCGAUUUUGUAGUAUCAGGUGUUCCGGUGUACAUACGUGACCCAAUCUCAUUCGAAUUAACAUACUGGUUGCAGGCUUUGGCAAAGAGAUUUUAGCAAACCAAGGUUUGGCAGGAAUUGAUGUUUGUAUGCUCCGAUAAUGUAACGCAGCAGCACCCGCACCAGACGCCCGUAAUUUUGUCCAUUCCUUUCUUAGGAUUCCAAAGCACUCACCACUAUACACAGAGGAUUCUGGAGGCAAUUUUAUCUUUUGGUAAAUAUUAGAUUGAAUGUGAAGUACACCAAUACCGACACAACCAUUGGUGGACAUCUUAGAAGCAUCUGUAUACAUAUGGUUAGCACCCUGACAAUCAGUACCAAUAACACCCAGAUAUUGUUAGUUUUGAUCUAUAUCAUUCUUUGAUAUACCUAUAUCCAGGAGAACUGGUGGAACUAGUAUAAGAGACUCAUAUUCAUGCUGAAAAAUGGGAAGUGAUGAAGAGCUAACAGUGGGAGCUGAAAUAGAUUUAAGUUUUUGAAAACUUCUGAUUAAACAAGGAGGACUCUUGUGUUUCCAAUAGUUGGAUGUACUUAUUUGAAGAAGGAGGUUAGACAAGAUAAUCCAGAGUUUGUGAUUAGAGAAUUGGGAGCAACGGAAAAGGAACCUAUCACAAAGAUAGUGGCGUCGUAAAUGGAGCGGAGGCUCACAACACUCAACUUGCAUAGCAUUGAUAGGGCUUGAAUUCAUGGCACCACAAAUUAUUCUCAAGGCUUUAGAUUGAAUACGAUCUAGUUUUUGGAAGCCAACUACAUAUCCAGGCUCUAACAAAAAUGUACCAUAAUCUAAAAUUCUUCUUAUUAA